ensembl:misc_RNA Metazoa_SRP Metazoan signal recognition particle RNA
GCUGUGCUUGGUGGCGCACGCCUGUAAUCCCAGCUACUCGGGAGGUUGAGGCAGGAGAAUUGCUUGAGCCCGGGAGGUGGAGCUUGCAGUGAGCCGAGAUCCUGCCACUGUACUCUUGGGUGACAGAGUGAGACCCUGUCUCAAAAAAAAAAAAAAAAAUUAAAAAAAAUUUUUAGUGAAUUAUUAUUAUUAUUAUUAUUUGAGAUGAAGUCUUGCUCUGUUGCCCAGGCUGGAGUGCAGUGGUGUGAUCUCGGCUCACUGCAAGCUCUGCCUCCCGGGUUCAAGCAAUUCUUCUGCCUCAG